rnacentral:rRNA from 1 species
AGAGUUUGAUCCUGGCUCAGGACGAACGCUGGCGGCGUGCUUAACACAUGCAAGUCGAACGUGAUUUUUAUGGAAGGACCUUCGGGGACGGAAAUAAAAUGAAAGUGGCGAACGGGUGAGUAACACGUGAGCAACCUACCUUACACAGGGGGAUAGCCGUUGGAAACGACGAUUAAUACCGCAUGAGACCACGAUACUGCAUGGUAUAGGGGUCAAAGAUUUAUCGGUGUAAGAUGGGCUCGCGUCUGAUUAGCUAGUUGGAAGGGUAAAGGCCUACCAAGGCGACGAUCAGUAGCCGGUCUGAGAGGAUGAACGGCCACACUGGAACUGAGACACGGUCCAGACUCCUACGGGAGGCAGCAGUGGGGAAUAUUGCACAAUGGGGGAAACCCUGAUGCAGCGACGCCGCGUGAGCGAAGAAGGUUUUCGAAUCGUAAAGCUCUGUCCUAUGAGAAGAUAAUGACGGUAUCAUAGGAGGAAGCCCCGGCUAAAUACGUGCCAGCAGCCGCGGUAAUACGUAUGGGGGCGAGCGUUGUCCGGAUUUAUUGGGCGUAAAGCGAGCGCAGGCGGUUAGAUAAGUCUGAAGUUAAAGGCUGUGGCUUAACCAUAGUACGCUUUGGAAACUGUUUAACUUGAGUGCAAGAGGGGAGAGUGGAAUUCCAUGUGUAGCGGUGAAAUGCGUAGAUAUAUGGAGGAACACCCGGUGGCGAAAGCGGCUCUCUGGCUUGUAACUGACGCUGAGGCUCGAAAGCGUGGGGAGCAAACAGGAUUAGAUACCCUGGUAGUGCACGCCGUAAACGAUGAGUGCUAGGUGUUAGACCCUUUCCGGGGUUUAGUGCCGUAGCUAACGCAUUAAGCACUCCGCCUGGGGAGUACGACCGCAAGGUUGAAACUCAAAGGAAUUGACGGGGGCCCGCACAAGCGGUGGAGCAUGUGGUUUAAUUCGAAGGCAUCGCGAAGAACCUUACCAGGUCUUGACAUCCCUCUGACCGCUCUAGAGAUAGAGCUUUCCUUCGGGACAGAGGUGACAGGUGGUGCAUGGUUGUCGUCAGCUCGUGUCGUGAGAUGUUGGGUUAAGUCCCGCAACGAGCGCAACCCCUAUUGUUAGUUGCCAUCAUUUAGUUGGGCACUCUAGCGAGACUGCCGGUAAUAAACCGGAGGAAGGUGGGGAUGAUGUCAAAUCAUCAUGCCCCUUAUGACCUGGGCUACACACGUGCUACAAUGGUUGGUACAACGAGUCGCAAGCCGGUGACGGCAAGCUAAUCUCUUAAAGCCAAUCUCAGUUCGGAUUGUAGGCUGCAACUCGCCUACAUGAAGUCGGAAUCGCUAGUAAUCGCGGAUCAGCACGCCGCGGUGAAUACGUUCCCGGGCCUUGUACACACCGCCCGUCACACCACGAGAGUUUGUAACACCCGAAGUCGGUGAGGUAACCAUUUGGAGCCAGCCGCCUAAGGUGGGAUAGAUGAUUGGGGUGAAGUCGUAACAAGGUAACC